UAAUACCGGAUACGAGCUGCGAAGGCAUCUUCAGCAGCUGGAAAGAAUUUCGGUCAGGGAUGAGCUCGCGGCCUAUCAGCUUGUUGGUGAGGUAACGGCUCACCAAGGCGUCGACGGGUAGCCGGCCUGAGAGGGUGACCGGCCACACUGGGACUGAGACACGGCCCAGACUCCUACGGGAGGCAGCAGUGGGGAAUAUUGCACAAUGGGCGAAAGCCUGAUGCAGCAACGCCGCGUGAGGGACGACGGCCUUCGGGUUGUAAACCUCUUUUAGCAGGAAAGAAGCGAAAGUGACGGUACCUGCAGAAAAAGCGCCGGCUAACUACGUGCCAGCAGCCGCGGUAAUACGUAGGGCGCAAGCGUUAUCCGGAAUUAUUGGGCGUAAAGAGCUCGUAGGCGGUCUGUCGCGUCUGCUGUGAAAACCCGAGGCUCAACCUCGGGCCUGCAGUGGGUACGGGCAGACUAGAGUGCGGUAGGGGAGAUUGGAAUUCCUGGUGUAGCGGUGGAAUGCGCAGAUAUCAGGAGGAACACCGAUGGCGAAGGCAGAUCUCUGGGCCGUAACUGACGCUGAGGAGCGAAAGGGUGGGGAGCAAACAGGCUUAGAUACCCUGGUAGUCCACCCCGUAAACGUUGGGAACUAGUUGUGGGGUCCAUUCCACGGAUUCCGUGACGCAGCUAACGCAUUAAGUUCCCCGCCUGGGGAGUACGGCCGCAAGGCUAAAACUCAAAGGAAUUGACGGGGACCCGCACAAGCGGCGGAGCAUGCGGAUUAAUUCGAUGCAACGCGAAGAACCUUACCAAGGCUUGACAUAUACGAGAACGCUGCAGAAAUGUAGAACUCUUUGGACACUCGUAAACAGGUGGUGCAUGGUUGUCGUCAGCUCGUGUCGUGAGAUGUUGGGUUAAGUCCCGCAACGAGCGCAACCCUCGUUCUAUGUUGCCAGCACGUAAUGGUGGGAACUCAUGGGAUACUGCCGGGGUCAACUCGGAGGAAGGUGGGGAUGACGUCAAAUCAUCAUGCCCCUUAUGUCUUGGGCUUCACGCAUGCUACAAUGGCCGGUACAAAGGGCUGCAAUACCGCGAGGUGGAGCGAAUCCCAAAAAGCCGGUCCCAGUUCGGAUUGAGGUCUGCAACUCGACCUCAUGAAGUCGGAGUCGCUAGUAAUCGCAGAUCAGCAACGCUGCGGUGAAUACGUUCCCGGGUCUUGUACACACCGCCCGUCA
rnacentral:rRNA from 1 species